GACGGGCAUGUCCAAAUGGUUCGUAGAAUGCGAACGGGUGUGUUGUCGGCUGACGGGCAUGUCCAAAUGGUUCGUAGAAUGCGGACGGGCGCGUUGUAGGCUGACGGGCAUGUCCAAAUCGUUCGUAGAAUGCGGACGGGUGUGUUGUAGGCUGACGGGCAUGUCCAAAUCGUUCGUAGAAUGCGGACGGGUGUGUUGUCGGCUGACGGGCAUGUCCAAAUGGUUCGUAGAAUGCGAUCGGGUGCGUUGUAGGCUGACGGGCAUGUCCAAAUGGUUCGUAGAAUGCGAUCGGGUGCGUUGUAGGCUGACGGGCAUGUCCAAAUGGUUCGUAGAAUGCGAUCGGGUGCGUUGUAGGCUGACGGGCAUGUCCAAAUCGUUCGUAGAAUGCGGAUGGGCGCGUUGUAGGCUGACGGGCAUGUCCAAAUCGUUCGUAGAAUGCGAACGGGUGCGUUGUAGGCUGAUGGGCAUGUCCAAACGGUUCGAAGAAUGCGAACGGGUGUGUGAUUGUGCCCUGCAACGGGUUGACGCAAUGUCCAGGGUGUCCCUUGUCUUGUGCCCCGAGUCCCAUUGAAGAGGCUCCAGGCUCCCUGCGACCCUGUGUAGGAUAACCUGUACUGAAGAUAGAUGGAUCAAGGGGAUGAA
ensembl:lncRNA